rnacentral:lncRNA from 1 species
GGAAGAGACUUGCAUAAUAAGUUCAUACAGGUAGGGGUCACAUGACCCGACUCUCAAGUCAUACAAACAAAGUCAUACAAGCCAUGCAGAAGCAUUAAAGUUGUCUGAGUACAAACAGAUGAAAGGAAAAGGCAUAAAGCCUGACUAUCUACAGAUUCCUUCUGAAAGGGGCCAUGUCGUAGCUGGGACACGAGCUACUCGUCAUCAUCGACGUCUAGGUAGAACCCACCUGAUG